UACGGGGGGGGCAAGCGUUGUUCGGAAUUACUGGGCGUAAAGGGCUCGUAGGCGGCCAACUAAGUCAGACGUGAAAUCCCUCGGCUUAACCGGGGAACUGCCUCUGAUACUGGAUGGCUUGAGAUUGGGAGAGGGAUGCGGAAUUCCAGGUGUAGCGGUGAAAUGCGCAGAUAUCAGGAGGAACACCGGUGGCGAAGGCGGCAUCCUGGACCAACACUGACACUGAGGAGCGAAAGCCAGGGGAGCAAACGGG
rnacentral:rRNA from 1 species